rnacentral:tRNA from 1 species
GAGAGAUGGCUGAGUGGUCGAAAGCGGCACCCUGCUAAGGUGUUGAACCCUUCACGGGGUUCCGAGGGUUCGAAUCCCUCUCUCUCC